GACGAACGCUGGCGGCGUGCUUAACACAUGCAAGUCGAACGGCAAGGCCCUGCUUUUGUGGGGUGCUCGAGUGGCGAACGGGUGAGUAAUACGUGAGUAACCUGCCCUUGACUUUGGGAUAACUUCAGGAAACUGGGGCUAAUACCGGAUAGGAGCUCCUGCUGCAUGGUGGGGGUUGGAACGUUUCGGCGGUUGGGGAUGGACUCGCGGCUUAUCAGCUUGUUGGUGGGGGAGUGGCUUACCAAGGCUUUGACGGGUAGCCGGCCUGAGAGGGUGACCGGGCACAUGGGGACUGAGAGAGGGCCCAGACGGCUACGGGAGGCAGUAGUGGGGAAUAUGGUACAAUGGGCGGGAGCCUGAUGCAGCAACGCUGCGGGCGUGAUGACGGUCUUCGGGUUGUGAACCGCUUUCGCCUGAGACGAAGCGGGAGUGACGGUAAUGGGUAAAGAAGCACCGGCUAACUACGUG
rnacentral:rRNA from 1 species